AUUGAACGCUGGCGGCAGGCCUAACACAUGCAAGUCGAGCGGUUGACGGGAGCUUGCUCCCUGAUUCAGCGGCGGACGGGUGAGUAAUGCCUAGGAAUCUGCCUAUUAGUGGGGGACAACGUUUCGAAAGGAACGCUAAUACCGCAUACGUCCUACGGGAGAAAGCAGGGGACCUUCGGGCCUUGCGCUAAUAGAUGAGCCUAGGUCGGAUUAGCUUGUUGGUGAGGUAAUGGCUCACCAAGGCGACGAUCCGUAACUGGUCUGAGAGGAUGAUCAGUCACACUGGAACUGAGACACGGUCCAGACUCCUACGGGAGGCAGCAGUGGGGAAUAUUGGACAAUGGGCGAAAGCCUGAUCCAGCCAUGCCGCGUGUGUGAAGAAGGUCUUCGGAUUGUAAAGCACUUUAAGUUGGGAGGAAGGGUUGUAGAUUAAUACUCUGCAAUUUUGACGUUACCGACAGAAUAAGCACCGGCUAACUCUGUGCCAGCCGCCGCCGUAACAC
rnacentral:rRNA from 1 species